rnacentral:rRNA from 1 species
UGCUCCUUAUGAAAGUGGCGCACGGGUGCGUAACGCGUAUGCAACCUACCUUAAUCAGGGGGAUAGCCCGAAGAAAUUCGGAUUAACACCGCAUAAAAACACAGAGCAGCAUUGCUCAAUGUUCAAAUAUUUAUAGGAUUAAGAUGGGCAUGCGUGUCAUUAGCUAGUUGGCGGGGUAACGGCCCACCAAGGCGACGAUGACUAGGGGAUCUGAGAGGAUGACCCCCCACACUGGUACUGAGACACGGACCAGACUCCUACGGGAGGCAGCAGUAAGGAAUAUUGGUCAAUGGAGGGAACUCUGAACCAGCCAUGCCGCGUGCAGGAAGACGGCCCUCUGGGUUGUAAACUGCUUUUAUUCGGGAAUAAACCACAUUACGUGUAGUGUGCUGAAUGUACCGAAGGAAUAAGGAUCGGCUAACUCCGUGCCAGCAGCCGCGGUAAUACGGAGGAUCCAAGCGUUAUCCGGAUUUAUUGGGUUUAAAGGGUGCGUAGGCGGCUUAUUAAGUCAGGGGUGAAAGACGGUGGCUCAACCAUCGCAGUGCCCUUGAUACUGAUGAGCUUGAAUGGACUAGAGGUAGGCGGAAUGUGACAAGUAGCGGUGAAAUGCAUAGAUAUGUCACAGAACACCGAUUGCGAAGGCAGCUUACUAUGGUUUUAUUGACGCUGAGGCACGAAAGCGUGGGGAUCAAACAGGAUUAGAUACCCUGGUAGUCCACGCCCUAAACGAUGAAUACUCGCUGUUAGCGAUAUACAGUUAGCGGCUAAGCGAAAGCGUUAAGUAUUCCACCUGGGGAGUACGCCCGCAAGGGUGAAACUCAAAGGAAUUGACGGGGGCCCGCACAAGCGGAGGAGCAUGUGGUUUAAUUCGAUGAUACGCGAGGAACCUUACCCGGGCUUGAAAGUUAGUGAAUGAUCUAGAGAUAGGUCAGUGAGCAAUCACACGAAACUAGGUGCUGCAUGGCUGUCGUCAGCUCGUGCCGUGAGGUGUUGGGUUAAGUCCCGCAACGAGCGCAACCCCUAUGUUUAGUUGCCAGCACGUUAAGGUGGGGACUCUAAACAGACUGCCUGUGCAAACAGAGAGGAAGGAGGGGACGACGUCAAGUCAUCAUGGCCCUUACGUCCGGGGCUACACACGUGCUACAAUGGAUGGUACAGAGGGCAGCAAGCUGGCAACAGCAAGCGAAUCUCAAAAAGCCAUUCACAGUUCGGAUAGAGGUCUGCAACUCGACCUCUUGAAGUUGGAUUCGCUAGUAAUCGCGUAUCAGCAAUGACGCGGUGAAUACGUUCCCGGGCCUUGUACACACCGCCCGUCAAGCCAUGGAAGUUGGGGGUACCUAAAGUAUGUAACCGCAAGGAG